UACGUAGGGUGCAAGCGUUAUCCGGAAUUAUUGGGCGUAAAGAGCUCGUAGGCGGUUUGUCGCGUCUGCUGUGAAAACUGGAGGCUCAACCUCCAGCCUGCAGUGGGUACGGGCAGACUAGAGUGCGGUAGGGGAGAUUGGAAUUCCUGGUGUAGCGGUGGAAUGCGCAGAUAUCAGGAGGAACACCGGUGGCGAAGGCGGGUCUCUGGGCAAUAACUGACGCUGAGGAGCGAAAGCGUGGGGAGCAAACAGG
rnacentral:rRNA from 1 species